AACGCGAAGAACCUUACCUAGACUUGACAUCCCUUGCAUAACCCAGAGAUGGGUGAAGUCCUUCGGGACAAGGUGACAGGUGGUGCAUGGUUGUCGUCAGCUCGUGUCGUGAGAUGUUGGGUUAAGUCCCGCAACGAGCGCAACCCUUAUCAUUAGUUGCUACCAUUAAGUUGAGCACUCUAGUGAGACUGCCCGGGUUAACCGGGAGGAAGGUGGGGAUGACGUCAAAUCAUCAUGCCCCUUAUGUCUAGGGCUACACACGUGCUACAAUGGUGAGUACAAAGAGAUGCAAGACCGCAAGGUGGAGCCAAAACUCAAAAACUCAUCCCAGUUCGGAUUGUAGGCUGCAACUCGCCUACAUGAAGCCGGAGUUGCUAGUAAUCGCGAAUCAGCAUGUCGCGGUGAAUACGUUCCCGGCGUCGUUACGACACCGACGUGC
rnacentral:rRNA from 1 species